UAAGCCGCGAGUCAUUGUAGCAAUACAAGGCGGACGGCUCAUAACACGUAGUCAACCUAACUCGGACGGAUAACCUCGGAAACUGAGAAUAAACCACGAUAGAUCAUAGGCGAAUGUUGCCCAGUACUGCCAAUUGGGGAUGGGACUGCGGCCUAUCAGCUUGUUGGUGAGUAGGCACAAGCGAUUACAGGUACGGGCUCUGAGAGAAAGCCCGGAGAUGGGUACUGAGACACGGACCCAGGCCCUAUGGGGCGC
rnacentral:rRNA from 1 species